UACAGGGGGUGCUAGCGUUGUUCGGAAUUACUGGGCGUAAAGGGCGCGUAGGCGGCUUUGUAAGUCAGAUGUGAAAUCCCCGGGCUUAACUCGGGACGUGCAUUUGAAACUGCGAGGCUAGAGUGCAGUAGAGGAUGGUAGAAUUCCCAGUGUAGAGGUGAAAUUCGUAGAUAUUGGGAGGAACACCAAUAGCGAAGGCAGCUCGCUGGGACGUUACUGACACUAAGGCGCGAAAGCGUGGGGAGCGAACAGG
rnacentral:rRNA from 1 species